CCUACGGGAGGCAGCAGUGGGGAAUAUUGGACAAUGGGCGAAAGCCUGAUCCAGCAAUGCCGCGUGAGUGAUGAAGGCCUUCGGGUCGUAAAGCUCUUUUACCAGGGAUGAUAAUGACAGUACCUGGAGAAUAAGCUCCGGCUAACUCCGUGCCAGCAGCCGCGGUAAUACGGAGGGAGCUAGCGUUGUUCGGAAUUACUGGGCGUAAAAGAGUACGUAGGCGGUUAUUCAAGUCAGAGGUGAAAGCCCGGGGCGUCAACCCCGGAACCUGCCUUUGAAACUAGAUAACUAGAGUCUUGGAGAGGUUAGUGGAAUUCCGAGUGUAGAGGUGAAAUUCGUAGAUAUUCGGAAGAACACCAGUGGCGAAGGCGACUAACUGGACAAGUACUGACGCUGAGGUACGAAAGCGUGGGGAGCAAACAGGAUUAGAUACCCUGGUAGUCCACGCCGUAAACGAUGAUAACUAGUGUUCGGUCACUUGGUGACUGAGUGACGCAGCUAACGCAUUAAGUUAUCCGCCUGGGGAGUACGUGCAAGAUUAAAACCNCAAUGAUCGACGCNGAGAGAGACGACGACGACGACGAGGAGAG
rnacentral:rRNA from 1 species